AUGUUUUUAAAGAGGAAAUAACAUUAUUUUAAAAAAGUUGAUUUCACACCCUGCCCCUUUAACUGAGAUAUGUAACAAGUUUUAAAGCGGCACCAAGACAUUUAAAGAGAUGUGCAAUGUUUUAACUAAAAGCAUACCUGCCAGGGUCUUUGUAUCUUUUCUUUAUUUGUAAAAUGUUUUCUAAUGACUGCUUCUGCCAUUUUACAUUCAGCCGCUUUUCUCCCCUGAUCGCCCCCAUGAGUUUUCAUUCAGACCACACCCACUUCAAUGUUUUCUUUGCUCUGUCAGUAAUCUGGCUCUCUGUGAGAAAACGUGCAACAUUUCAUGUUAUCUUCUUCAAAAGGUCCGUUUUGAAUUUUUUUCCCGCAAUUUUCCUGGAUUUUUUUCCCUCUGUAUUUUUGCAAUUUUCUUUUCCACCCUUCCUGCGUGACUUCUUUGCAUUACCAUCAGAAACAGUUUCGGUUCUUGGAAAUGGAUACCUUUGUAUGUGACAAACUAAACCAGUGGGGUCUCAGCGAGUAUAUUGAAAUAUUUCAAGAUCAAGGGGUUGACACAGAGAGCCUUUAUUGUCUUGAGGAUGAAGAUAUUGACAAGCUGAUCACAAAAGUGGGACCGAGAGCUCGGUUCAAGAAAAGACUCAAGCAGUUAAAGGAAGAAGAAAACACUAAUAGUGAAAAAGAAAUUUGUCCUAAACCAGUAAGGCAAUCCUCUUCUCACAAUAAAUGUCAAAUAUUACAUCCAUUAACUAUCAAUAUUAAAUGAUCUUAGACUAGAUUAGGAAUACCCUUUAUUUUCCUGAAGUAGGGAGUUCAGCAGGUGUAACAGCAGCAACCUCACAGGAAAUUGAGGCAUGUUGGUUCACAUAAAGAUAAAUAGUAUAAAAAUAUUUAAAAACAAAUUUAAGAAUAAUAUAAUGCACAGUAAAGACAAAUUUACCACAUAAAAUACUGCACAGUCAUCAAAAAUAACAUCCUGUUAUCAUAUGUGCAACUGAGCAGGAUA